GAUGAACGCUGGCGGCGUGCCUAAUACAUGCAAGUCGAGCGAACGGACGAGAAGCUUGCUUCUCUGAUGUUAGCGGCGGACGGGUGAGUAACACGUGGAUAACCUACCUAUAAGACUGGGAUAACUUCGGGAAACCGGAGCUAAUACCGGAUAAUAUUUUGAACCGCAUGGUUCAAAAGUGAAAGACGGUCUUGCUGUCACUUAUAGAUGGAUCCGCGCUGCAUUAGCUAGUUGGUAAGGUAACGGCUUACCAAGGCAACGAUGCAUAGCCGACCUGAGAGGGUGAUCGGCCACACUGGAACUGAGACACGGUCCAGACUCCUACGGGAGGCAGCAGUAGGGAAUCUUCCGCAAUGGGCGAAAGCCUGACGGAGCAACGCCGCGUGAGUGAUGAAGGUCUUCGGAUCGUAAAACUCUGUUAUUAGGGAAGAACAUACGUGUAAGUAACUGUGCACAUCUUGACGGUACCUAAUCAGAAAGCGACGGCUAACUACGUG
rnacentral:rRNA from 1 species